UUGCGCCCGAAGCCAUUAGGCCGAGGGCACGCCUGCCUGGGCGUCACGC
rnacentral:rRNA from 1 species